GGCUUGCACAGGUGCUGCAUGGCUGUCGUCAGCUCGUGUCGUGAGAUGUUCGGUUAAGUCCGCUAACGAGCGCAACCCUCGCUGUGUGUUACAAGUGUCACACGGUACUGCCGGUCUUAAGCCGGAGGAAGGUGGGGAUGACGUCAAGUCAGCAUGGCCUUUAUGUCCUGGGCUACACACACGCUACAAUGGCCAACACAAUAGGUUGCUAAGCCGCGAGGUGGAGCCAAUCCUCAAAGUUGGUCUCAGUUCAGAUUGCAGGCUGCAACCCGCCUGCAUGAAGAUGGAGUUGCUAGUAACCGCAGGUCAGCUAUACUGCGGUGAAUACGUUCCCGGGGCUU
rnacentral:rRNA from 1 species